rnacentral:rRNA from 1 species
UACGUAGGGUCCAAGCGUUGUCCGGAUUUAUUGGGCGUAAAGAGCUCGUAGGCGGUUCCGUAAGUCGGAUGUGAAAACUCGGGGCUCAACCCCGAGACGCCAUCCGAUACUGCGGUGACUUGAGUCUGGUAGGGGAACACGGAAUUCCUGGUGUAGCGGUGAAAUGCGCAGAGAUCGGGAGGAACACCCGUAGCGAAGGCGGCACUCUGGGCCGGUACUGACGCUGAGGAGCGAAAGCGUGGGGAGCGAACAGG